GGCGAGUGAAGCGGUAAAAGCUCNAAUUUGAAAUCUGGUACUUUCAGUGCCCGAGUUGUAAUUUGUAGAAUUUGUCUUUGAUUAGGUCCUUGUCUAUGUUCCUUGGAACAGGACGUCAUAGAGGGUGAGAAUCCCGUUUGGCGAGGAUACCUUUUCUCUGUAAGACUUUUUCGAAGAGUCGAGUUGUUUGGGAAUGCAGCUCAAAGUGGGUGGUAAAUUCCAUCUAAAGCUAAAUAUUGGCGAGAGACCGAUAGCGAACAAGUACAGUGAUGGAAAGAUGAAAAGAACUUUGAAAAGAGAGUGAAAAAGUACGUGAAAUUGUUGAAAGGGAAGGGCAUUUGAUCAGACAUGGUGUUUUUUGCAUGC
rnacentral:rRNA from 1 species